GUUGGACAAGAUUUUAUAUUUCUUUCCUGCUGAUUUGCCUUUCCCCACCCAACUCUCUGUGAUAGGGCUUAGUGAAGGACUCAUAACAUUCACCAGAAUAUUCUCUCCAGAGGCUCCAUGUGAGGUUAUAGAAGCAGAGAUGCACUCCCAUGUUUUCUAUGAGGCAGAGCGUGAUAUCUGGAUGGUGAUGGUGGUGGAAAAAAGUGAGUCAGAAGCCAUAUGGCGGACUGCUGCUUUACGAGAUGUUCUUAAAGAAGUUCACUCUCUCUUUGUGAUGUUUCAUGGGUCCAUAAGAGCAUUACUUGAUAGAGAACCAAGUGGAGGGCUUACCCGGACGCAUUUGUAUUAUUUCAUCAUGGAUUAUUUAAGUG
rnacentral:misc_RNA from 1 species